rnacentral:rRNA from 1 species
GACGAACGCUGGCGGCGUGCUUAACACAUGCAAGUCGAACGGAAAGGCCCUGCUUUUGUGGGGUGCUCGAGUGGGGAACGGGGGGGUAACACGCGAGUAACCUGCCCCUGACUUUGGGGUAAAUUCAGGAAACUGGGGCUAAUACCCGGUAGGAGCUCCUGCUGCAUGGGGGGGGGUGGAAAGUUUCGGCGGUUGGGGAUGGACUCGCGGCUUAUCAGCUUGUUGGUGGGGUAGUGGCUUACCAAGGCUUUGACGGGUAGCCGGCCUGAGAGGGUGACCGGCCACAUUGGGACUGAGAUACGGCCCAGACUCCUACGGGAGGCAGCAGUGGGGAAUAUUGCACAAUGGGCGGAAGCCUGAUGCAGCAACGCCGCGUGCGGGAUGACGGCCUUCGGGUUGUAAACCGCUUUCGCCUGUGACGAAGCGUGAGUGACGGUAAUGGGUAAAGAAGCACCGGCUAACUACGUG